AAAUGAGGGCCGAUGCGAUAAGUAUCUUCACAGGUUAACGAAACGGCCUACAUAAGCAGGGGAAGUCUUUGUCACCCCAUGAACCCUGUUUGGGCUUUUCCAAAUAAGUUCGAAGUCUCAAGCAGCUCGACGAAUAAGGCCUCGCAGGCCAAAGAUUAUCCAGUUUGUUAUGCAGUUUCUACCUUCCAACACAAUUGAUUUAUUUCUUUAUUCUCAAUGAAUAUUCAAGAAGUUACUCAUAAGCUUGGCUCAACUGCUGUCCACAACAACUACUCAAAACCCUUUUUGGGUCUGCUAUCCAAUGCGAGAGGAUAAACUAAUUGUUCUCUAGUGCGAGAGGGUAAACCAAUUCCCCGACACCUAUAUGGGUUUGCUCUCCAGUGCGAGAGGAUAAACUAAUUGCUCUCUAGCACGAGAGUGUAAACUAAUUGCUCUCCAGGGCGAGAAGGUAAACUAAUUGCUCUCCAGUGUAAGAUGGUAAACUAAUUCCUCGACACCCAUCUAGGUAAGCUCUCCAGUGUGAGAAGGCCACAUAGCUUAAAAGAUCGAAUGCUUGAAGAUCAACUAGGCAGCAA
rnacentral:lncRNA from 1 species